GUACUUGGUGUUACUGCGAAGGGGGGACGGAGAAGGCUAUGUUGGCCGGGCGACGGUUGUCCCGGUUUAAGCGUGUAGGUGUGUGUUCCAGGUAAAUCCGGUUCACUUUAACACUGAGGCGUGAUGACGAGGCACUACGGUGCUGAAGCAACAAAUGCCCUGCUUCCAGGAAAAGCCUCUAAGCAUCAGGUAACAUCAAAUCGUACCCCAAACCGACACAGGUGGUCAGGUAGAGAAUACCAAGGCGCUUGAGAGAACUCGGGUGAAGGAACUAGGCAAAAUGGUGCCGUAACUUCGGGAGAAGGCACGCUGACACGUAGGUGAAGUGAUUUACUCAUGGAGCUGAAGUCAGUCGAAGAUACCAGCUGGCUGCAACUGUUUAUUAAAAACACAGCACUGUGCAAACACGAAAGUGGACGUAUACGGUGUGACGCCUGCCCGGUGCCGGAAGGUUAAUUGAUGGGGUCAGCGCAAGCGAAGCUCCUGAUCGAAGCCCCGGUAAACGGCGGCCGUAACUAUAACGGUCCUAAGGUAGCGAAAUUCCUUGUCGGGUAAGUUCCGACCUGCACGAAUGGCGUAAUGAUGGCCAGGCUGUCUCCACCCGAGACUCAGUGAAAUUGAACUCGCUGUGAAGAUGCAGUGUACCCGCGGCAAGACGGAAAGACCCCGUGAACCUUUACUAUAGCUUGACACUGAACAUUGAGCCUUGAUGUGUAGGAUAGGUGGGAGGCUUUGAAGCGUGGACGCCAGUCUGCGUGGAGCCGACCUUGAAAUACCACCCUUUAAUGUUUGAUGUUCUAACGUGGACCCGUAAUCCGGGUUGCGGACAGUGUCUGGUGGGUAGUUUGACUGGGGCGGUCUCCUCCUAAAGAGUAACGGAGGAGCACGAAGGUUGGCUAAUCCUGGUCGGACAUCAGGAGGUUAGUGCAAUGGCAUAAGCCAGCUUGACUGCGAGCGUGACGGCGCGAGCAGGUGCGAAAGCAGGUCAUAGUGAUCCGGUGGUUCUGAAUGGAAGGGCCAUCGCUCAACGGAUAAAAGGUACUCCGGGGAUAACAGGCUGAUACCGCCCAAGAGUUCAUAUCGACGGCGGUGUUUGGCACCUCGAUGUCGGCUCAUCACAUCCUGGGGCUGAAGUAGGUCCCAAGGGUAUGGCUGUUCGCCAUUUAAAGUGGUACGCGAGCUGGGUUUAGAACGUCGUGAGACAGUUCGGUCCCUAUCUGCCGUGGGCGCUGGAGAACUGAGGGGGGCUGCUCCUAGUACGAGAGGACCGGAGUGGACGCAUCACUGGUGUUCGGGUUGUCAUGCCAAUGGCACUGCCCGGUAGCUAAAUGCGGAAGAGAUAAGUGCUGAAAGCAUCUAAGCACGAAACUUGCCCCGAGAUGAGUUCUCCCUGAGACUUAGAGUCUCCUGAAGGAACGUUGAAGACGACGACGUUGAUAGGCCGGGUGUGUAAGCGCAGCGAUGCGUUGAGCUAACCGGUACUAAUGAACCGUGAGGCUUAACCUU
rnacentral:rRNA from 4 species